AGACACAGAACUCAGACAAAUGGAAACCUAACUAGCAGCAGAUGCCAGCCAGAUCCGAUCUGAUGCCAGGAGGAAGAAUGCAGACAGCAACAGGCUGAGCGGGGCAUGGAAGAACAUCAAGGAAAGGUCUGACGCAAAUGAAACGCCUGGGAGAGAAACACAGGACACAGCGUGACCAUGAAGAGACCUGGGAGUCACAGAGGAAAAAAUUCUGUCUCAUGGCAGUGUAGCAAGACAAGAACAUGAAAGUCACUGGCUUGGGGUCACUUUGGUGGCCAUUCUACUUUCUGGGACCCUGAUCUUUGAGAAAGGCCCUGGUGUCCUCAAAGACACCCCAAUAUUCCCACAUCACUAGCGUUGGCCAGUGCCUUGCAAAAGGAUAUGCGCUGGAGACAAGGUCAGCUGUCCCUGGGGAUCACCAGACGCUGGAUUUCAUUUCCAGGCAAGACUUUCACUCUGUUGAACUACGCUUCCUGCGACUACAUACUCACAUACAAACACUAGCACAAAUGUCAUCAGAUUGUUCUUAUGUUGCUUGGAUACUUUUCAUUCUGAUGUGCUGUAUAACUGUUGUAUAAAUAUAAAAUAGAUAUGUGCAAAAUGAGGGUCCUAACUUGUGAACACCGGCGGGCUAUGGCUGAGAGUACAGAAACAGAGUUCUAAAAUGCUGUGGUCCCGUGUAUGCUGUGUGAUGUCCUCAGGGAAGGCUCCUGAGUUGAGGUCUGCUCAUGAAGAAAGUCGUCUUCUUUGCCCCCCCCCCAAAAAAAAAGACAAACAAAAACCAAAAACCCCCAAACAGCCAUUUGUUGACUGACUCUCUGGAGGGAGAGGAAAACCACAAAAAACUGGUCCAGCUGUGCCUGGUGGUGGACAUAAUGGCAUAGUACUGAAAGGCCAAGGGAAGUGACAGAAUGCCUCCAAGUCUCUUGGAUAGCCUCCCCUGACUACAUGGGCAACUGUUAGGAGCAUUUCUCAGGAGCCUAAAAGGAGACCCUCUGCAUACUUCUUAGGAACUUCUUACCCAACGACUGCAACAUUCUUAAUAACCUGUACUGUCUUCUAUAUUCAGGCUGGAAAGUGGUUUAGUUGGUAGAAGAGCUUGUUAACAUGUACAAAAAAAUCUCCGGGUUCAGUCCCCAAACUUGCAUAAAGCCAGGUGUGUCGGCACAUGCCUAUAAUCCCAUCACUGGGGAAAGUGGAGAUGGGAGGACCAGCAGCUUGAGUUUGAGGCCAGCUUGGGCAACAUAAGACUUUGUGUUUAAAAAAAAAUCAAAGAACUAUUUAUUAUUUUUAUAAGAAAUGAAGAAUCCUCUCAUUCUAUUCCAAGUGCACCCACACACUCUGUUCAGCUCUGGCUGUGUGAUAAACAGCUUGCAAUGUCUAAGAAACCGGGUGGUUUGAUGCUAGCUGCAGGUGAUGGAAGGGAGAGUGGAAGUCUUCUCCAGGAGUGGGGAAGUAAAAGUUGCUCUUCUAUUUCCUUUGCAUUGCUCCUUCUGGUUAGAAGGUGUGCAAGCCUCUACCACCUGCUAACUGGUUGGACACUGUGUUUUCUCCUGGACUUGUUUAGAAGCCACAGCAUAAGAGGAGCGCUCACACUCGCUACAGCAUUUAGAUCGCAUUAACAAGCCAAGUGUUCUCUUCAAAGUUGAUCCCUUUCCCCCAUCUUUGGUCAGGCACCAAACUCCAUGCUAAGCCCCUCCAUGUCUCUUGCAUCCAGCCCUUCCAGGUUCAUGGCGACACUCUUCCAUAGUGGCAAUACUCAGUCCCUGCUGGGCACGGCGGUUCGCCUAUUCUACUUUCCCACUGUAUUUGUCGUCCGUUCAAAAGCUGAAACCUGCCACAUCAAGUCCCUCCUGCCUCAGCCCUCUAUGCUUCUACGGUAAACUUCUCUCGCCGGACUCUGCAACCCUCUGCUUUUGCACACAGAGCUCCUCCUUCCCACUCCACACCUCUCUCUGCUUGGGAAAUGCUUUGAGCCUUAACUCAAGGGCCAUUUAACCUGGGAAGGCUUUACCAGAUUAAGAAAACUGUUCCUUCAGCUCCAGGUUCUCACACCCUGGUCACAGCUGUAUAAGAGCACAGAGCACACAGUGGGGGCACGUCGGGCACCCAAGCUUGUCUCACUACUCGGAUGAGUCUUUGUCUAGGUGUCUGGGCACCUAGCUAGGUACCUAAUUCAGUGGAUGGGCCCAGUGAACACCUGUUGAAUAGAAACAGCAUCAAAACGUGGCUGAGUGUUCACACAAUGCUUUAGUUACCUAUUUUUAAGAUGUACAAUACAAUUUGUGAGACCAGUGUAGACAACCAGAACAUGUAUAAAAAUCUGUAUGCCAGUUAUUUUCGAUGACCUUGUUCUUUUCUACUCAAAAGUUAAUGGGACUGCCACUAGAGUCUGGGUUUUCUACCAUACUUGCUGAAGGAAAAGAAAAUAAUGUCUUUUCUCUGACUGCACGAUUAGAGGCAACAGUCCUCGCAGUACACCUGCAGUGUAAACAGUACUCUGUGGUGUGUGCAGAACCCAGAAGAGGAUAUGUUCAGGCAAAGCGCUGUUUGAGUAUGGCCUCACCAAUGUUUGUUCUGGCUUGAGAACAGGAAAAGGAAGCUAUUUGACCUCACUGGAAAUCCAAAGGUUGUUUGAAACUUAAAAAAAAAAAAUCUUUGUUUAUUUUAAACUUAUUUCAAGGCAGCUAGAAGAUCUCCUGUGCCAUCGAGGUCUUUUACAGGAAAGCGAUGGCCACUGUUAUUCUGCAAUACCAAUAGAAAGCGCCUCUAAGUGGGGCACUGAAUUAGAAUUCAAAACCCAGGAGCAGCCUGAGCAUUAGUUAAUAAGUAAAAUAUAGUCUAGUCACUAAAACAGAAUAACAGGUAGAUAUCCUCAGGGGGGAGAAGGAAAGAAGAGGAAUUUACUACUUCCAACAUUUACUAUAGUUCCAGAAUUUCAAUGACCUACUAAGGGAGUUUUCCUUUAUAGGUAUAUAAUCUCCCACAUGGUAAUAAUCUCCCACAUGGUAAACUCUGCAUGUCGUUUUGGGGACAAUGACAGAGGUGCAGUGGCACUGCCAAUCAUCCUCUCCCCAUCAUCUCCCACUGUGGCUCCCUCCUGGGGAGGUCUGUCCAGGGAGCGCUAGCAGUCUAUGCUGUGAUUCUGUAGUAGGGGAGUUUAGGGUGGUGAGUAGCUCAGGGAGUGUGGGUUCCGCACGCACCUGCACGGGUGCCCACGAUGCACAGGCGGUAUGAUGGCUACCCUCCCAGAACUCACAGGCAGGAAUAGGCAACUACUGCCAACUGAAAGUUUCCUGCAGGCCAAGCUUUCUGGGCUAAGAGUUUAUACACAUUGUCCUCUUCACUCCCCAGACAUCCUCAGAGGAAAGUAUGAGCGAUCGGAUCUUUCAGGCGAGAUAAACAUGUCCAAGGAGGGCUAAUUAGCUGUGAAGGCGAGGUGCUGCCAGCGCAGUCUGUCUCUAACCCUUGGUCUCUGCAGCACUGUGUACUCUGCUAGGUUUGGUGAGAUUUGUGAGAUAAGCCACGCUGAAUCCCAAGGGCCACACAGCCAUUAUAGGGGAAAAAAGGAUGGAUAGAUGAAGAAUUACUCACAGGAUGACAAGAUAAUGGGCUUUGGGGGCCCGGGGAAGCAACGUGGUGAUGUGAUGGGGAACACUGAGUACAGUAAGCAGCUGUGACCUGGGACAGUGGUGCCCAUGAGAGAGGGGCACCUGUGAUUAUUUUUAAAAACUGAUUUUAUUGAGCUAUACAUUUUUCUCUGCUCCCCUCCUUGCCUCUCCUUUUCACUUCAACCCUUUCCCAUGGUCCCCAUGCUCCCAAUUACCUGUGCUUUUUUUUUUUAAGUGAAGAAAAUGAAAGUAAAUAAAAGUCAUUUCCCAAACACCACAGUGUGUGGUCUGUGCAGUAUGUGAGUGUGUGUGUGUGAGUGUGUGAGUGGUUUGUGCAGUGAGUGAGUGUGUUAGUAGUCUGUGCAGUACGUGAGUGUGCGAGUGGUCUAUGCCGUGUGUGAAUGUGUUAGUUGUUUGUGCAGUGUGUGAGUAUGAGUGCUCUGUUCUGGCCAGAGUCGGGCUUCUAAUUUUGUUUCAGGGUUAUUUUCACCUUGACAGAGCAUCGAUACUCGGUUGCAUUUUGCUUUGUUGACUGCCUUUGCCAUUUGUGCUGUGCUUUUAGCUCUGUUCAUGUGAUGGGAUUUGAGCAAAUCUACCCGGGUCUUCAGGUUAGUUCUUGGAGUCAAGUUUCCUGAGUUUUGUUCUUACAUCUGAUCCUUUCUAAACCGAGCCCUUAGGAGUCUUAGUUCCACUUAACACUCAACCCCUCACACUCUCUAUUUUUAUUUAACUAAACAGGAACUUUAAUAUGAAAACAAUCUUCUGAGGCUUCCAUCUAACUUGUUUUUAAACUACAGUCAUAGUU